rnacentral:tRNA from 1 species
GGGCGGGUAGCUCAGUUGGGAGAGCAUCUGCCUUACAAGCAGGGGGUCGCAGGUUCAAGCCCUGUCCCGCCCACCA